rnacentral:rRNA from 1 species
UACGUAGGGUGCGAGCGUUAAUCGGAAUUACUGGGCGUAAAGCGCGCGCAGGCGGUUCUUCAAGUCAGAGGUGAAAGCCCAGAGCUCAACUCUGGAAUGGCCUUUGAGACUAGAGAACUUGGGUACGGGAGAGGUGAGUGGAAUUCCGAGUGUAGAGGUGAAAUUCGUAGAUAUUCGGAAGAACACCAGUGGCGAAGGCGGCUCACUGGCCCGUUACCGACGCUCAGGCGCGACAGCGUGGGGAGCAAACAGG